rnacentral:lncRNA from 1 species
UGUGAAGCAUUAUCAAGCUUGGGACUGAUCUGUGCCGCAGAUUGAGCCCCUUCAUCCUCCACUUUAUCGUCGUCAACUGAUUUCAGACGCUUGUGCGCAGAUGAUUCCUUCUCAUUCUUCUCACCAUUUUCUUCCCGUUCUCUCUUCUGUUUGUUUCUUUUCUGAACCAGACAAUUCGUGCGCAGCUUCUGAACGAGGAAAGUUAUAUCAAGUCAAUCGAGAACAGACCAAGGAAGCCAAGACGCUUAUUAGCGGGGGGGCGAAGCUGGACUCCGCAAUGAGAAUUUACCUGAAGAAAUGACAAAAGUCGGCUCCCC